GAGGGUAUAGCUCAGAGGUAGAGUGUGUGCUAAGCAGGCACAAGAUCCUGGGUUCAAUUCCCAGUACUUUCA
rnacentral:tRNA from 1 species